rnacentral:rRNA from 1 species
GAUGAACGCUGGCGGCGUGCCUAAUACAUGCAAGUCGAGCGAAUGGAUUGAGAGCUUGCUCUCAAGAAGUUAGCGGCGGACGGGUGAGUAACACGUGGGUAACCCGCCCAUAAGACUGGGAUAACUCCGGGAAACCGGGGCUAAUACCGGAUAACAUUUUGAACCGCAUGGUUCGAAAUUGAAAGGCGGCUUCGGCUGUCACUUAUGGAUGGACCCGCGUCGCAUUAGCUAGUUGGUGAGGUAACGGCUCACCAAGGCAACGAUGCGUAGCCGACCUGGGAGGGUGAUCGGCCACACUGGGACUGGGACACGGCCCAGACUCCUACGGGAGGCAGCAGUAGGGAAUCUUCCGCAAUGGACGAAAGUCUGACGGAGCAACGCCGCGUGAGUGAUGAAGGCUUUCGGGUCGUAAAACUCUGUUGUUAGGGAAGAACAAGUGCUAGUUGAAUAAGCUGGCACCUUGACGGUACCUAACCAGAAAGCCACGGCUAACUACGUGCCAGCCGCCGCGGUAAAAC